rnacentral:rRNA from 1 species
AAACCAACAGGGAUUGCCCCAGUAACGGCGAGUGAAGCGGCAACAGCUCAAAUUUGAAAUCUGGCCCUCCCUUUCGGGGGCCCGAGUUGUAAUUUGCAGAGGAUGCUUCUGGCGCGGCGCCUUCCGAGUUCCCUGGAACGGGACGCCAUAGAGGGUGAGAGCCCCGUCUGGUUGGACGCCUAGCCUCUGUGAAGCACCUUCGACGAGUCGAGUAGUUUGGGAAUGCUGCUCAAAAUGGGAGGUAUAUGUCUUCUAAAGCUAAAUACCGGCCAGAGACCGAUAGCGCACAAGUAGAGUGAUCGAAAGAUGAAAAGCACUUUGAAAAGAGGGUUAAACAGUACGUGAAAUUGUUGAAAGGGAAGCGCUCAUGACCAGACUUGGGCCCCGCGCAUCACCCGGCGUUCUCGCCGGGGCACUUCGCAGGGCCCAGGCCAGCAUCGGUUCGCGGCGGGGGACAAAGGCUUCGGGAACGUGGCUCCCUCGGGAGUGUUAUAGCCCGCUGCGCAAUGCCCUGCUGCGGACCGAGGUUCGCGCUUUCCGCAAGGAUGCUGGCGUAAUGGUCAUCAGCGAC